ACGUUGAAACACCAGUUCCUGUACGAUCAGCGAAGUUAAGCAACGUCGAGCCUGGUCAGUACCUAGAUGGGUGACCGCGUUGGAAUACCAGUUAGUGU